rnacentral:rRNA from 1 species
UACGAAGGGGGCUAGCGUUGUUCGGAAUUACUGGGCGUAAAGCGCGCGCAGGCGGUCUUCCAAGUCAGUGGUGAAAGCCUGGAGCCCAACUCCAGAACUGCCAUUGAAACUGUUGGACUUGAGUACGAGAGAGGUGAGUGGAAUUCCCAGUGUAGAGGUGAAAUUCGUAGAUAUUGGGAAGAACACCAGUGGCGAAGGCGGCUCACUGGCUCGUAACUGACGCUCAGGCGCGACAGCGUGGGGAUCAAACAGG